UCCCAUGUAGUCUAGUGGUUAGGAUUCCUGGCUUUCACUCAGCGGCCCGGGUCCGAUUCCCGGCAUAGGAA
rnacentral:tRNA from 1 species